AAAAAUAGCUGAAAACAGUACGACAAUGUUCUAUUUUCGCCGUUCUGUCAAAAAAAGGAUUUUAACUGUAGAAGAUUCAUACCAUUUGAUGCCAAGUGUACAAUAAAAACUGAAAUGAAAAUUGACAGCAGAAGUGUCAUGGUCUUGGUGGAAAAUGCUGUGCUCUUCAUUGACCUCUGUUUAAUAAUGGCUUAUGAUAAAAAACUACCAGGAAUGCUUCAAGAUGGCAAUGGAGAGCAGUGUAAAAGACACUGAGAAAUCACAAUGUUUCAAACAUCAAGAAUAUGCUCACGGUCAGUCUUCAAGAUACUCACCUUAAAGGUUCCAGUGUGAUUUAGGAGACUUUGUCAGAACAGUACAUUAUACCUACAUACACUGGAGAUACCAGACCCAACAGAUAACUACAAAUAUAUUUAAACAGAACCUGAAAUUAAUUGCAUAUCCCAAUACAACAUAAUACUUUAAACGGUUAAAUAGGCAGUGAGGCAUUUGUGUGUAAUCUUCAUUUAAUAUUUGAAAUUUCUUUUUCCUUUUUUUUAAGUUUGAUUUUGCAUUUAAAAGC